rnacentral:lncRNA from 10 species
UCCUGCAGCCUCAGCGAGUUCUCCUGGGCAUGAAAAAGCGAGGCUUCGGGGCCGGCCGGUGGAAUGGCUUUGGGGGCAAAGUGCAAGAAGGAGAGACCAUCGAGGAUGGGGCUAGGAGUCCCUGCAGUUUAAGCUGAGGAGGCAUCGCUUAAAUCAGACCAUUUAGACCAGGCAUGGUGGCUCACACCUGAAAUCCCAGCACUUUGGGAGGCCAAAGCAGAAGGAUCGCUUGAGCCCAGGAGUUCAGGACCAGCCUGGGCAAC